ensembl:ncRNA lncRNA:CR45382 long non-coding RNA:CR45382
GUCUUACGUAGGCCGCCGUUAAAGAAAGUUCCCAAAAGCUCUGGGAAAGCUUCGCUCAAGCCCUCUCUGCGGUUCUCCUCCCAGUUUAUUAAUUGCUGGGUCAGGGGUUCAUUUAAGCCAGAUUAGCAUCGCCGGAUUCUUGGGCUGGCUUCUCCCAUUGAAUAAAAAUGUAGGAGACGCGGCACCUUCUCACGAUCGUUGUAGAGGAUUUCGGGAGAAGCUGACCUCUUGAACCUCCCAAGUUACUGUGCUGCGCCCAAGUAACCUCUGACGCAGCACAAAAUCGGAUCAUCAAAACCGUUGAUGAGUAAUGGACAUCACACAUUCCAAGCGUUACCAAUAGCCAAGGCAGCCAGGUAUGACACACUGUGCGAUAAUCAAGCCAAUAAACCAACACCCAAAAUGAAAACAUACAGAUGAGUUUGUAAAAAUAGUGCACUUUACUACAAUAAUUAGCUACAAAAGCAUUUGGGUUUCAAG